rnacentral:rRNA from 1 species
GACGAACGCUGGCGGCGUGCCUAAUACAUGCAAGUCGAGCGAAGUUUUUUUGGUGCUUGCACCGGAAAAACUUAGCGGCGAACGGGUGAGUAACACGUAAAGAACCUGCCUCAUAGACUGGGACAACUAUUGGAAACGAUAGCUAAUACCGGAUAACAGCAUUAACUGCAUGGUUGAUGUUUAAAAGUUGGUUUUGCUAACACUAUGAGAUGGCUUGCGGUGCAUUAGCUAGUUGGUGGGGUAAAGGCCUACCAAGGCGACGAUGCAUAGCCGACCUGAGAGGGUGAUCGGCCACACUGGGACUGAGACACGGCCCAGACUCCUACGGGAGGCAGCAGUAGGGAAUCUUCCGCAAUGGGCGAAAGCCUGACGGAGCAACGCCGCGUGAGUGAAGAAGGAUUUCGGUUCGUAAAGCUCUGUUG